UCUUCUAGGAGGUAAGAAAUCUGCUUCUGCAUUUUAUGCAGCAGUUUGCAACGACUCAUUCGCAACCCAGUAUCACGUUCAAAUUCUUUGUGAGGACUCAUUUGUCUUUAUUGUCUUGUAGAUCGCAAGCUGGUAAUGUAAAUGCUCACCAUGGAGAAGUGUUACCUGAUCAGGAAACCUACCCCAUGUUCACCUCUCUAUCUGCUCCUGACAACCCUCCUGCUCCUGUUGAACAAGACACGCAGGAGUCUCAAAAUUAUGAUUCGGACACGUAUCAUUUCUAUUCUGUUGUGCCUGACUUGCCACCUGCAUCGUCCCUUGGUCACAUGACGUACAGCACCGUGAUGCCGCACUGAAAACACAAACUAUAUUUCAUAGCGUGCAGAGAAUGAAGAAGCAUUGUUUGAAGGUGGCUCCCACAAGAGAGCGUGGUAGUUUAUUAUUAUAUUCAUAUGUCACAUAUCAUUUUAUUUGCAUAAAAUGAUACUAACAAUUAAGGCUAAAGUUUUCUCUUACUUCUCUCUCUCGUCUGUUUUAACUUCCUUAAUUAGCCCAUG